rnacentral:rRNA from 1 species
GACGAACGCUGGCGGCGUGCCUAACACAUGCAAGUCGAACGGAAGUAAGAGCUUCGGUUUUUGCUUUAGUGGCGAACGGGUGAGUAACGCGUGAGGAACCUGCCUUUCAGUGGGGGACAACAGUUGGAAACGACUGCUAAUACCGCAUAAUGUCAUUUGGGGGGCAUCCCUGGAUGACCAAAGAUUUAUUGCUGAAAGAUGGCCUCGCGUCUGAUUAGAUAGUUGGCGGGGUAACGGCCCACCAAGUCGACGAUCAGUAGCCGGACUGAGAGGUUGACCGGCCACAUUGGGACUGAGAUACGGCCCAG